AAAUAAAUAAAUAAGGGCGUUUGGUGGAUGCCUUGGCAUUAGAAGGCGAUGAAGGACGUGAUACGCUGCGAUAAGCUUCGGGAAGCUGCGAAUAAGCUUUGAUCCGAAGAUUUCCGAAUGGGGGAACCCAUCCUUUUUAGGAUAUCAUAUAAUGAAUACAUAGUUAUAUGAAGCGAACUCAGUGAACUGAAAUAUCUAAGUAACUGAAGGAAAAGAAAUCAAACGAGACUCCGUGAGUAGCGACGAGCGAAAUCGGAUCAGGCCUGUGGCCUUGAAAAAUGAACCAGAAUAGUAUGGAAAGACUAGCAAUAAUAGGUGAUAGCCCCGUAUGGGUAAGUUUUUCAAGGUCCUCGAGUAGGGCGGGACACGUGAAAUCCUGUCUGAAUAUGGGGGGACCACCCUCCAAGCCUAAGUACUCUCUAGUGACCGAUAGUGAACAAGUACCGUGAGGGAAAGGUGAAAAGAACCCCGAUUAGGGGAGUGAAAUAGAACCUGAAACCAAAUGCCUACAAGCAGUGGGAGCAGCGCUUGCGUUGUGACCGCGUACCUUUUGUAUAAUGGGUCAGCGACUUAAUUUAUCGAGCAAGCUUAAGCCGUUAGGUGUAGGCGUAGCGAAAGCGAGUCUGAAUAGGGCGACCGUAGUUCGAUGAAUUAGACCCGAAACCGAGUGAUCUAGCCAUGGCCAGGUUGAAGACGGAGUAAGAUCCGUUGGAGGACCGAACCCACUAAUGUUGAAAAAUUAGGGGAUGAGCUGUGGCUAGGGGUGAAAGGCCAAUCAAACUCGGAUAUAGCUGGUUCUUCGCGAAAUCUAUUUAGGUAGAGCGUCAUGUAUAACUAACGGAGGUAGAGCACUGAAUAGUCUAGGGGGUCCAAAAGACUUACCAAACCUAAUCAAACUCCGAAUGCCGUUAGUGCAAGCAUGGCAGACAGACUGUGGGUGCUAAGAUCCAUAGUCGAGAGGGAAACAGCCCAGAUCGCCGUCUAAGGUCCCAAAAUUAUGGCUAAGUGUGAAAGGAUGUGAGAAAACCAAAACAACUAGGAUGUUGGCUUAGAAGCAGCCAUCAUUUAAAGAAAGCGUAAUAGCUCACUAGUCUAAAUAAGUUUUCUUGCGCCGACAAUGUAACGGGGCUCAAGCCAUAUACCGAAGACGCGAAUCUAUAUCUUUAGAUAUGGGUGGUAGCGAAGCGUUCCGUAGGUCUGUGAAGGUUCUUUGUAAAAAGGGCUGGAGAUAUCGGAAGUGAGAAUGCUGACAUGAGUAGCGACAAAGAGUGUGAGAAACACUCUCGCCGAAAGUCCAAGGUUUCCUGCGUAAAGCUAAUCUGCGCAGGGUUAGUCGGCCCCUAAGGCGAGGCUGAAAGGCGUAGUCGAUGGGAAUCAGGUUAAUAUUCCUGAACCUAGGAUGUGUGACGAAGAUAGUAAGCUGUCUAUCCUUAUUGGAUUGGAUUUGCAGUGAAUAUUUUCCAGGAAAUAGCACUCCAUUAAUAGACCGUACCCUAAACCGACACAGGUGGACAGGUAGAGUAUACCAAGGCGCUUGAGAGAACGAUGCUGAAGGAACUAGGCAAAUUGCAUCUGUAACUUCGGAAGAAAGAUGACCUAUAUUUGGGCAACCAGAUAUAGGUGGCACAUACCAGGGGGUAACGACUGUUUAUUAAAAACACAGGACUCUGCAAAGUCAAUAGACGAAGUAUAGGGUCUGACGCCUGCCCAGUGCUGGAAGAUUAAAAGGAGGGGUGAGAGCUCUGAAUUGAAGUCCCAGUGAACGGCGGCCGUAACUAUGACGGUCCUAAGGUAGCGAAAUUCCUUGUCGGGUAAGUUCCGACCUGCAUGAAUGGCGUAACGAUUUCCCCGCUGUCUCCAGCAUCGACUCAGCGAAAUUGAAUUCUCCGUUAAGAUGCGGAGUUCCCGCGGUUAGACGGAAAGACCCCGUGCACCUUUACUACAGCUUUGUACUGGUAUUAGAAAUUAGACGUGCAGCAUAGGUGGGAGGCUUUGAAGUUUUGCGCUAGCAGAAAUGGAGCCUUUAGUGAGAUACCACCCUUCUAAUUUUUGAUAUCUAACCAUUAAUCCUUGAAUCAGGACUUGGGACAGUGCAUGGUGGGUAGUUUGACUGGGGCGGUCGCCUCCUAAAUAGUAACGGAGGCGUGCGAAGGUUAGCUCAGGUUGGUCGGAAAUCAACUGUUAGAGUGCAAUGGCAUAAGCUAGCCUGACUGCAAGACUGACAAGUCGAGCAGAGACGAAAGUCGGUCAUAGUGAUCCGGUGGUCCCGUGUGGAAGGGCCAUCGCUCAACGGAUAAAAGGUACGCCGGGGAUAACAGGCUGAUGAUUCCCAAGAGUUCAUAUCGACGGAAUCGUUUGGCACCUCGAUGUCGGCUCAUCACAUCCUGGGGCUGGAGAAGGUCCCAAGGGUAUGGCUGUUCGCCAUUUAAAGUGGUACGUGAGCUGGGUUUAGAACGUCGUGAGACAGUUCGGUCCCUAUCUGCCGUGGGUGUAGGAAGUUUGAGAGGAUCUGUUUUUAGUACGAGAGGACCAAAAUGGACACACCAAUGGUGUACCAGUUGUCGCGCCAGCGGCACCGCUGGGUAGCUAAGUGUGGAAGGGAUAACCGCUGAAUGCAUCUAAGCGGGAAACCCACCUCAAAACUAGACUUCCCAAUCAGAGCCGUAGAAGACCACUACGUUGAUAGGCUAGGUGUGGAAGCAUGGCAACAUGUGAAGCUAACUAGUACUAAUAGCUCGAUUGAUUUAUUUUG
rnacentral:rRNA from 1 species